AGUUUUUGCGAUGCUUUGGACUUGAUGGAAUCGAAAGCCACGAGACCCGCCGCAGCGAAUCCGGACAUUUUCCAAUUAUUGGGGUUGCUCUCUGGCUGCAAAUGGUCGCGUUGACAAUUGGCAGCCCCUAAAGUACACGAGGAUACAUAAAUCUCAUGCGUAAAUUUCAUUUUUAACAGAAAUAUUCAAUAAAGGGAUAUGCAAUAAAAAUUUUAUAAUUGAUAUUCAAGAAGGAAAAUUCUGGCAGAAUGGCAGUCGACUUGGUGGAUAUUCGAAAAAUUGUUGUCAGAUUAUCGACUCGAUCGCAAAGAGACGUAUCGCGGGACAAUGGCUGACGGAUAUUAAAACGGCACGUGACAGACAAAAGGCAGAAAAUGUACAGCACGUGUACACAACGAGCUAGGGUGGAACGAGGAAGAUGGAAACGACCGAUUUCGCUUAAUGGACUCGUUGCACAUCCUUACUAGUUUUUCCACGAAUUCUUAAUAACAGGUGUAAUCUGAAACAUAUCUUAUCGAUCUCGUGAAAGUAAUUUGAAUAUAGAGUUUUCGUUAAUGAUUAUUGAUUUUAAAAUUGAUUUAGAUUUGAAUCUGAAUUACUCGAAUUGCAGCGUAUAUAUUUUAAACACUUUAUAUAUUUAUUAUAUGUAUUUAUGAAACUUGA